UACGUAGGGUGCAAACGUUGUUCGGAAUCAUUGGGCGUGAAGGGUACGUAGGCGGUUUGGUAAGUUAGAGGUGAAAUCCCGGGGCUUAACUCCGGGGCUGCCUUUAAAACUAUCAAUCUAGAGUCACUGAUAUAGGUGGCAGGAAUUCCUAGUGUAGGAGUGAAAUCUGUAGAUAUUAGGAAGAACACCAAUGGCGAAGGCAAGCCACUGGGUAGUGACUGACGCUGAGGUACGAAAGCCGGGGGAGCAAAAGGG
rnacentral:rRNA from 1 species